UGGGGAAUCUUGGACAAUGGGCGAAAGCCUGAUCCAGCAAUGCCGCGUGUGUGAAGAAGGCCUUCGGGUUGUAAAGCACUUUUGUCCGGAAAGAAAUCCUUGGCUCUAAUACAGUCGGGGGAUGACGGUACCGGAAGAAUAAGCACCGGCUAACUACGUGCCAGCAGCCGCGGUAAUACGUAGGGUGCAAGCGUUAAUCGGAAUUACUGGGCGUAAAGCGUGCGCAGGCGGUUUGCUAAGACCGAUGUGAAAUCCCCGGGCUCAACCUGGGAACUGCAUUGGUGACUGGCAGGCUAGAGUAUGGCAGAGGGGGGUAGAAUUCCACGUGUAGCAGUGAAAUGCGUAGAGAUGUGGAGGAAUACCGAUGGCGAAGGCAGCCCCCUGGGCCAAUACUGACGCUCAUGCACGAAAGCGUGGGGAGCAAACAGGAUUAGAUACCCUGGUAGUCCACGCCCUAAACGAUGUCAACUAGUUGUUGGGGAUUCAUUUCCUUAGUAACGUAGCUAACGCGUGAAGUUGACCGCCUGGGGAGUACGGUCGCAAGAUUAAAACUUAAAUGAAUUGACGGGGUCAUAGCUGUUUCCU
rnacentral:rRNA from 1 species